CAAUAGCGUAUAUUAAAGUUGUUGCAGUUAAAAAGCUCGUAGUUGAAUUUCUGGUCAAUUUUAGUUUCGGCUUCGGUCGGUCUAAGGUUGGCCAUCCGUCUGCAAGCUAUUCUCGUCCUUCACUGUGUCGGUUUAGCGAGCUGACAUUUUACUUUGAAAAAAUUAAGAGUGUUCAAAGCAGGCCUAUGCUCUGAAUAGGUUAGCAUGGAAUAAUAAAAUAGGACUUUGGUUCUAUUUUGUUGGUUUCUAGGACCGAAGUAAUGAUUAAUAGGGACAGUUGGGGGCAUUCAUAUUCCAAUGUCAGAGGUGAAAUUCUUGGAUUAUCGGAAGAUGAACUUCUGCGAAAGCAUCUGCCAAGGAUGUUUUCAUUGAUCAAGAACGAAAGUUAGGGGAGUCGAAGACGAUUAGAUACCGU
rnacentral:rRNA from 1 species